CCCUUAGAUGUUCUGGGCUGCACGCGUGCUACACUGAUAUUGCCAAUAUGUCAUUCUUAUCCGAAAUGGAUUGGGUAAUCAAGUAAUGAAAUUUCAUGCUUGGAAUCGGUAAUUGCAAUUUUAUCGUGAACGAGGAAUUCCUAGUAAGCACUAGUCAUCAGCUAAUGUUGAUUAUGUCCCUGCCCUUUGUACACACCGCCCGUCGCUACUACUGAUUGGGUGUUCAAGUGAGAUGCUUAGACCCUUGUUGCAUGGUUCAUUAUUGUGCUCCGAAAGGAAAAAGUUUCAAGCUUGGGUGUCUAGAGGAAGUAAAAGUCGUAACA
rnacentral:rRNA from 1 species